UUAUGGUUCAUUAGACGGUACGCACAGUUACUUGGAUAACUGUGGUAAUUCUAGAGCUAAUACAUGCAAAUAGAGUCCCGACCAUUCUUUGGAAGGGAUGCUUUUAUUAGAUCAAAACCAAUCGGGCUUCACGGCCUGUUGUUCUUGGUGACUCUGAAUAACUUUGGGCUGAUCGCACGGUCACGUACCGGCGACGCAUCUUUCAAAUGUCUGCCUUAUCAACUGUCGAUGGUAGGUUCUGCGCCUACCAUGGUUGUAACGGGUAACGGGGAAUCAGGGUUCGAUUCCGGAGAGGGAGCCUGAGAGACAGCUACCACAUCCAAGGAAGGCAGCAGGCGCGCAAAUUACCCACUCCCGGCACGGGGAGGUAGUGACGAAAAAUAACGAUGCAGAACUCUUUCCGAGGCUCUGCAAUCGGAAUGAGUACAUUCUAAAUCAUUUAACGAGUAUCCAUUGGAGGGCAAGUCUGGUGCCAGCAGCCGCGGUAAUUCCAGCUCCAAUAGCGUAUAUUAAAGUUGUUGCGGUUAAAAAGCUCGUAGUUGGAUCUGUGUCCCACGCUGUCGGUUCGCUGUCCGUCAGCGCUAACUGGCAUGUAAGUGGGACGUCCUGUCGGUUGGCGUUUUGCAUUCGAAAGACUGCAAUUUCGCCAGUUCAAUCCUGUCGCGGUGCUCUUUACCGAGUGUCGAGGCAGGCCGACACGUUUACUUUGAACAAAUUUGAGUGCUUAAAGCAGGCUGUUACGCCUGAAAACUGCUUGCAUGGAAUAAUGGAAUAGGACCUCGGUUCUAUUUUGUUGGUUUUCGGAGCCCGAGGUAAUGAUUAAUAGGGACAGGCGGGGGCAUUAGUAUUGCGACGUUAGAGGUGAAAUUCUUGGAUCGUCGCAAGACUGACCUAAGCGAAAGCAUUUGCCAAGGAUGCUUCCUUUAAUCAAGAACGAAAGUUAGAGGUUCGAAGGCGAUCAGAUACCGCCCUAGUUCUAACCAUAAACGAUGCCAGCCAGCGAUCCGUCGAAGUUCCUCCGAUGACUCGACGGGCAGCUUCCGGGAAACUAAAGCUUUUAGGUUCCGGGGGAAGUAUGGUUGCAAAGCUGAAACUUAAAGGAAUUGACGGAAGGGCACCACCAGGAGUGGAGCCUGCGGCUUAAUUUGACUCAACACGGGAAACCUCACCAGGCCCAGACACCGGAAGGAUUGACAGAUUGAGAGCUCUUUCUUGAUUCGGUGGGUGGUGGUGCAUGGCCGUUCU
rnacentral:rRNA from 1 species